GGCAUUUCCUCCUUGGAGCUUAAAAGGCUCAGACAGGGCUGGGGAGCUGGGCUGCAGGAGGCCGCCACAGCAAGGAGUACAGACACAUGUAGUCAGCCGAAGGCCACUCGUGUGAGCAGGAAGAUGAACCUGUGAGGUGUUUACGGACUAUUCGGCGAGGCAUAAAUAAGGCCACGGAUGAGCUGAGGGACCAGACUGUAGACGUGUUGAGAUGCUAUGGCAAGGAAAAAGAACGUGCACCAGAAGCAUUUGUGACAAGUAUUUUCAGAAUGGUUUCUACAUUUGUAGAGGUUGCCUGCAGACCAUCCUGUACAAGUCUAUACAAAUCAACUGGUGAUCUCCAAGCACAGAUCUCAUCAUUUUUGAUACAAUGAAAGAAAUUUUUCAUUUCUUCUUCAAAAAGAUGUUUGUCUAUGUCCUCUUGGUAGAAUUCACUUAAUUUCUUACUGUAGUGGCUUUUAGCAGCUUCAGCUAGAC